rnacentral:lncRNA from 1 species
AUCCCACAUUGCUGUGGCUGUGGUGUAGGUGGCAGCUGCAGGUCCAAUUUGACCCCUAGCCUGGGAACGAACUUCCAUAUGCUGAGGGUUCGGUCCUAAAAAGACAAAAAAAACCAAAAAACCCAUAAACAAAAAAUCUAAGAGUGGAAUUAACUGGCUCAUAUGAUAAGUGUAUAUUUAACUUUAUGAGAAACUAGCAAACUAUUUGCCUGAGUGGUUGUACCAUUUUAUACUCUGACGAGCAACGUAUGAGGGUACUAGUUGCUGCAAAUCCUUGCCAAAGCUUGAUAUUAUAUAUGUUUUUCAUUAUAGCAUUCUGAUGGGUACAAAGUAGUAAGUAUCUCAUUGUGAUUUUAAUUUUUGAUGCAGUUCCAACUGGUAUUUUUUAAAUUUCAAUUUUCCUUUAUUUGUUGCUAGUAUAUAGAAAUGCAGUUAAAUUUUGUAUAUGACUUUGAAUCAAAGUCAUUUAGUUCUAGCAGUUGUUUCUUUUGUUUUUUCUUCGACCUACACCAGAGCUCACAGCAAGCCGGGUCCUUAACCAGCUGAGAGAGGCCAGGGAUUGAACCCUCAUAGUCAUGGAUACUAGUCGGGUUGGUUAACCACUGAGCCAUGAUGGGAACUCCCAAUGCCUUACUUUUUUUUUGUUGUUGUUGUUGCUUUUUUUAGGGCCACACCUGUGGCACAUGGAGGUUCCCAGGCCAGGGUCCAAUUGGAGCUACAGCUGCUGGCCUACACCAGAGCCACAGCAAUGCAGGAUCUGAGCCACGUCUGCACCCUACACCACAGCUCACGGCAAUGCCAGAUCCUUAACCCACUGAGCGAGGCCAGGGAUUGAACCCGCAAACUCAUGGUUCCUAGUCAGAUUCAUUAACCUCUGAGCCACGAUGGGAACUCCCCAAUGCCUUCUCUUGAUAGGCCUUUGCAUGCAUAUUAGGGUGGCAUGAAGUGUGAACCAUGAAUAUGAAGUUGAUAAAUACAGUUGCAGUAAUAAUUAUAUGUAAAAUUGGCAUGGCAGAUAGUAAAAAAGGUUAUUUUGCCAUUUGAGCUUGUGACAAUUUAGAAGGAAGGCCAUGUAGUCUAAAGAAUAAUAAAAUUUGGCUCUGGCCUCAAAGAAGCACUUCCUAAAACAAGGUUACAUUGAAAUAUAUUGGCAUUAUCUCUGGACACUUGUAAAGCCGUUUAACAAUUCGUUCACUGUACAAAUAUUUGGUGAGUGAGUGCCUAGCUGGUACUAGGCACUGUUUUGGUGUUUGGGAUACAUUAGUGAACAAAACAAAACCCUGUUUUGCUACAUUCUUGUUGGAAUUAAUAUUAAGCAUGAAAAUCUCGCUGUCUAUUUAGAGUGAACAGGGCUUUGGAGGAAAACGAGGUAGAUAGAGAAGGUAGAGGUGUAUAGAAAGUAUGUUUUGUUUUGUUUUUUUUGCUUUUUUUAGGGCUGCACCUAUGGCAUAUGGAGGUUCCCAGGCUAGAGUCUAAUCGGAGAUACAGCUGCUGGCUUAUGUCACAGCCACAGCAACGCCAUAUCCAAGCCGUGUCAGCGAACUGCACCACAGCUCAUAGCAAUGCUGGAUCCUUAAGCCACUGAAUGAGGCCGGGAAUGGAACCCGCAACCUCAUGCUUCAUGGUGGGAUUCAUUUCUGCUGAGCCAGGACGGGAACUCUGGAAGUUUUAAGACCCUUAUAGACUACUUGAUUAAAACUAGACAGUCAUCAGUGUCACCCCAAAAACCAAAUAGCAGGAAAAAAGGUCAAUUUAUAAAUUAUUCAAUCAAUGAUGAUCCUCUGAUGAGGAUUAUCUCAAGUUUACGUAGGUAUUCCCCAGUGAUUUUCUUCCCUAACCUGUCUUAUUUUCAAGAAGUUUUCAGAAGAAUGGUUCCAAGCAAACUACGCUAAUCCCUCACCAUAAAACAUCCUAUUUUCAUGGAAAAAGAUUCAGAUAUUUUCAGCAUCUUCAAACACAAAAUAGGAAGCAAAGGUCAGAGCCUUAAACAGUUGUAGAAUUGUUUAUUUUACCAUCUUGCUUAGAAAUGGUCGAUAUUUUGUUUGAGAUCAGUGAAGAAAAGGAAAUAGAAAAAGUGCCUCUAUGAGUAGUUCCACUUGUAGAGAUUGUAAAGUAUCAGAUGCCAUAGAAGCAAAACUAUACAGAUGACUAUUAAACCAUGCUUUUCUUUAUAGAUUUAUGAAUCAAUAGACAUUAGUAAAUGUGGCCAGCUAAUAGUACUGGUUAGAGUCCCUCAAGAGAAAUUCCUAGAACAUUGUUCUUUGCACAUCUGUCGAAACAAACUACUUGAAGUGAAAUAUUCAGAAUUGUAAAUGAUAUCUUUCCUCAGUUUGUGUAAAUGGUAGUGCUACUUUUUAGCAAGAGUUCACCUGAAAACCUUGAGUACAGGCACACAAAUUGUUUUAUCCAAUUUUGCAUAGAUGAAACUUAAUUUUGCCUGUAAACCUGGCUUCCAUAUUAAAUUACCUUUUCAAAAUGAUGACUCUAAUAGUAAUAACAAACACUUAAAAAUAAGACUCACUCAGACUUCUCUUGUGGCUCAGUGAGUUAAGGAUCUAGCAUUGUCGCUUGAUUUACUGCUGUGGCACUGGUUUGAUCCCUAGCCUGGGAACUUCCUCGUAUCACGGGUGCAG